UUGAGCCGUGGUGCGGUGAAAGCCGCUCGCCCGGUUCUGAGGGGGCCGGGGUCCCAGCAAUGGGCCCCGGCUACCCGAC
rnacentral:ncRNA from 1 species